CUUUCUCGACUCCUCUUCCCCGCAGUCCUCUAUACGCACGAAUCGUCCCUACCGUACUUUUGUUACCGUCUCCGGUGAACCGCCAUCGACCUCAUCUCACCCACCCUCACAGUUUUAGCAGCACAAGGUCACCGGAUAAAGAACCUCGGGAAUAGUUGACCACGAGUUUGACCUCCCACCUUGUCCCCUUCGUCCGCUUCAGCCGCAAUGAUGGCUGAUCCACCACUAGAGUUAUUAUAUCAUGAGAGAAGGAAGAAAAGGAAGAGGGCAGCAGCUGGGUUCUUCAUUAUAGUAGUUGCCAUAGCACAACAUAUGUACCUGAGCAUGGCAUUUGUAGUUGUGGAUGAUAAUCUAUGUUUUAGUAUGUGAAUUAGUGU